rfam:Paenibacillus stellifer strain DSM 14472, complete genome.
UCCGCCGCGAGGCGGAAUCUGAAGGAAGCCGGAGGCAAACCCUCGGUCUGACGAACAGAAAUCACAUAUAAGGCAUGAUGGGACGGACGAGCUUGCCACACAAAGCAAAGUCCAAUACUGCCCGAAUCCCAUGAUGUAAAUGUGGCAGAUAGAUGAGGGUAAAGUUAUCGCU